GACGAACGCUGGCGGCGUGCUUAACACAUGCAAGUCGAACGGAAAGGCCCUGCUUUUGUGGGGUGCUCGAGUGGCGAACGGGUGAGUAACACGUGAGUAACCUGCCCUUGACUUUGGGAUAACUUCAGGAAACUGGGGCUAAUACCGGAUAGGAGCUCCUGCUGCAUGGUGGGGUUUGGAAAGUUUCGGCGGUUGGGGAUGGACUCGCGGCUUAUCAGCUUGUUGGUGGGGUAGUGGCUUACCAAGGCUUUGACGGGUAGCCGGCCUGAGAGGGUGACCGGCCACAUUGGGACUGAGAUACGGCCCGGACUCCUACGGGAGGCAGCAGUGGGGAAGAUUGCACAAUGGGCGGAAGCCUGAUGCAGCAACGCCGCGUGCGGGAUGACGGCCUUCGGGUUGGAACCCGCUUUAGCCUGUGACGAAGCGUGAGUGACGGUAAUGGGUAAAGAAGCACCGGCUAACUACGUG
rnacentral:rRNA from 1 species